rnacentral:rRNA from 1 species
UACGUAGGUGGCAAGCGUUGUCCGGAAUUAUUGGGCGUAAAGCGCUCGCAGGCGGUCUUUUAAGUCUGAUGUGAAAUCUCGUGGCUUAACCACGAACGGUCAUUGGAAACUGGAGGACUUGAGUACAGAAGAGGAGAGUGGAAUUCCACGUGUAGCGGUGAAAUGCGUAGAGAUGUGGAGGAACACCAGUGGCGAAGGCGACUCUCGUGGUCUGUAACUGACGCUGAGGAGCGAAAGCGUGGGGAGCGAACAGG